AUUUGAUUUUCAAUCCAUAAGGAAUCAUAGAAAAAUUGGUCUGAACUUACCUCCAAACCAUCCCAGAUUCUGUAAUGAGGAGUACCCAAAUUGCAUCCAUGCUUAAAUUCGCAUCGUCAAAAGUCGAAUAACAGAGCUUUUGUUUAUUUUUUCAAAUAUUUUGAACAAUUGGAUAUUUGUCCAUGCUUACUCUUCAUUUUUUAAGAAAUGGAUACUUGAAAC
rnacentral:lncRNA from 1 species